UGGUACUAUAUAUUAUUUAGACUGCGAGCAAUCCCUCUAUUUUCCUUCGUUUUAUUGUUUCCCGGACUAAGAUUGAACGCGCGGGAAAAUGGCAAAAAGGGGCGGAGACGAGAGGAAAAAUAGAGGGAUUGCUCGCAGUCUAUAUAUUAUUGAUCUU